UACGGAGGGUGCAAGCGUUAUCCGGAUUCACUGGGUUUAAAGGGUGCGUAGGCGGACAGGUAAGUCAGUGGUGAAAUCUCCGGGCUUAACUCGGAAAGGUCAACUGAUACUGUGCGACUAGAGUGCAGAAGGGGCAACUGGAAUUCUCGGUGUAGCGGUGAAAUGCGUAGAUAUCGAGAGGAACACCUGCGGCGAAGGCGGGUUGCUGGGCUGACACUGACGCUGAUGCGCGAAAGCCAGGGGAGCGAACGGG
rnacentral:rRNA from 1 species